UUAAUUCCACUAUAAUGAGAAAUUGAAGCGCGGGUUGAAUAACAAAAAUUAUAGGUUUUUUUUUAUAAAAAUGACGUGGUGGUUUUCCGACGGAAGCAAUAGCCGCUUUAUUAUUAUGUAUAGAUUUUAGAUGAUGUGAUAUAGCACCAACACCAAGUAGUCUUCUUUUGCAUUUCUUCCUCUCUUUUUUAUUUCUUGUCCGGCUCCACAGUAAACGAGCCUCUUCUCCUUGACGCGUGUUCCAAUAUGCUUGUACUAGUAUUUGUAUUACCAGUAGAACUUUGCCUUCGAGAUCGAUGCCAUAUUGCCUCUAGUCCUUGAUUUAAUAUAUGAAGGCGUGGAAUACUUUUGAUUGCUCGUGCAGGUGGGCAGUCUAUACAUAGCAACAACUCAGUGGAUCGGUCGCUCCUUGGGACUUGGAGCUGUAGGGAACGAAAAUUGGAUACUUUAGCGACUAGCAUACGACAACCAGAAUAAAUCCCACAAUACGUCACCUCGGUGCAGUGAGAUUCGUCUUGAUUUCGGCAUAGAGUAAAAAUCAGUCUCCGAUCUUCAUAUGGAC
rnacentral:lncRNA from 1 species